rfam:Bacterium SCN 62-11 ABS71_C0373, whole genome shotgun sequence.
CUGGGUGGCCAUAGCGAAGGGGUCACACCCGUUCCCAUCUCGAACACGGAAGUUAAGCCCUUCAGCGUCGAUGGUACUGCUCUGGUGACGGAGUGGGAGAGUAGAACACUGCCCAGA